GACGAACGCUGGCGGCGUGCUUAACACAUGCGAGUCGAACGGAAAGGCCCUGCUUGCCGGGUACUCGAGUGGCGAACGGGUGAGUAACACGUGGGUGAUCUGCCCUGCACUUCGGGAUAAGCCUGGGAAACUGGGUCUAAUACCGGAUAGGAGCCAUUUUUAGUGUGAUGGUUGGAAAGUUUUUUCGGUGUAGGAUGAGCUCGCGGCCUAUCAGCUUGUUGGUGGGGUAAUGGCCUACCAAGGCGGCGACGGGUAGCCGGCCUGAGAGGGUGGACGGCCACAUUGGGACUGAGAUACGGCCCAGACUCCGACGGGAGGCAGCAGUGGGGAAUAUUGCACAAUGGGCGCAAGCCUGAUGCAGCGACGCCGCGUGGGGGAUGACAGCCUUCGGGUUGUAAACUCCUUUCGCUAGGGACGAAGCUUUUUGUGACGGUACCUAGAUAAGAAGCACCGGCUAACUACGUG
rnacentral:rRNA from 1 species